CAGCAGCCGCGGUAAUACGGAGGGUGCAAGCGUUAAUCGGAAUUACUGGGCGUAAAGCGCACGCAGGCGGUUUGUUAAGUCAGAUGUGAAAUCCCCGAGCUUAACUUGGGAACUGCAUUUGAAACUGGCAAGCUAGAGUCUUGUAGAGGGGGGUAGAAUUCCAGGUGUAGCGGUGAAAUGCGUAGAGAUCUGGAGGAAUACCGGUGGCGAAGGCGGCCCCCUGGACAAAGACUGAAGCUCAGGUGCGAAAGCGUGGGGAGCAAACAGGAUUAGAUACCCCGGUAGUCCCUGUCUCUUAUAC
rnacentral:rRNA from 1 species